UGAGCCGUGUGAGGGGAAACUCUCAUGCACGGUUCUUAGAGGGGAAGAGGAUAGUAAUAUCCUUGACCUACUC
rnacentral:ncRNA from 1 species